CGGCGGAGACUGUGAGAUUUUCUUGGAAAGUGGCUGGACCUCAGGGGCAACGCGAACACGAUGUUCGCGUUAGCCGAUAAGUGCCAUGGAUGGCAACGUAAAGGCGGCCCCGUCAUGGUGAGAAGCACUUGGCCACUUUCCUUUAGAAAAUCCACAGUUGUAGCUA
ncrna:unclassified sequences TwoGGAY RNA